GAUGAACGCUGGCGGCGUGCCUAAUACAUGCAAGUCGAGCGAACGGACGAGAAGCUUGUUUCUCUGAUGUUAGCGGCGGACGGGCGAGUAACACGUAGAUAACCUACCUAUAAGACUGGGAUAAGUUCGGGAAACCGGAGCUAAUACCGGAUAAUAAUUUGCACCGCUUGGUUCAAAAGUGAUAGAGGGACUUGCUGUCACUUAUAGAUGGAUACGCGCUGCAUUAGCUAGUUGGUAAGGUAACGGCUCACCAAGGCAACGAUGCAUAGCCGACCUGAGAGGGUGAUCAGCCACACUGGAACUGAGACACGGUCCAGACUCCUACGGGAGGCAGCAGUAGGGAAUCUUCCACAAUGGGCGAAAGCCUGACGGAGCAACGCCGCGUGAGUGAUGAAGGUCUUCGGAUCGUAAAACUCUGUUAUUAGGGAAGAACAUAUGUGUAAGUAACUGUGCACAUCUUGACGGUACCUAAUCAAAAAGCCACGGCUAACUACGUG
rnacentral:rRNA from 1 species